rnacentral:rRNA from 1 species
GACAGAGGGUGCAAACGUUGUUCGGAAUUACUGGGCGUAAAGCGCGUGUAGGCGGCAGGGCAUGUCGGAUGUGAAAUCCCGUGGCUCAACCACGGAAGUGCACCCGAAACUGCCCAGCUCGAGUCCGGAAGAGGUGAGUGGAAUUCCUAGUGUAGAGGUGAAAUUCGUAGAUAUUAGGAAGAACACCAGUGGCGAAGGCGGCUCACUGGUCCGGUACUGACGCUGAGGUGCGAAAGCGUGGGGAGCAAACAGG